AAAUAUGGCGCACAAGGGUAUUGAACCCAGGACUAGGAGCUUGCCAAACCAUCCCUUUUGCCAACUCCGCCGAAUAAGCAUCCUUGUCAUAUGAUCUCAAGCGCUAAUACAUAACAUAAAAAAAGACCCACCAAACCUUUUAAAUAAAACACAAAUUUGAAAACAGUAGCAGAUUCUUUUAAACAGAUUCAUCUUAAUCCAUAUAUCCUUUUUCUUUCCAUUUUGAACAUCAAAAUUUUAACAGCAAGAUAACCAAACAAACACACAUGGGCGAUGGAUAUAAAGCUAAACCAAAUGGAAGCUAAAACGGAGAAAUGGAAAUAGAAACUCAAAAAGGAAGCUAACCAGUUGCGGCGAGAUUGACCGACGGAUGUAGGUAAGGUUUCGUCUGAACCGGUCUUUGUUCUUCUUAUCCGUUCUUCACCACCAAGAAAAACUAGGGUUUUC
rnacentral:lncRNA from 1 species